UACACUCCUACGGGAGGCAGCAGUGGGGAAUAUUGCACAAUGGGCGCAAGCCUGAUGCAGCCAUGCCGCGUGUAUGAAGAAGGCCUUCGGGUUGUAAAGUACUUUCAGCGGGGAGGAAGGCGAUAAGGUUAAUAACCUUGUUGAUUGACGUUACCCGCAGAAGAAGCACCGGCUAACUCCGUGCCAGCAGCCGCGGUAAUACGGAGGGUGCAAGCGUUAAUCGGAAUUACUGGGCGUAAAGCGCACGCAGGCGGUCUGUCAAGUCGGAUGUGAAAUCCCCGGGCUCAACCUGGGAACUGCAUUCGAAACUGGCAGGCUAGAGUCUUGUAGAGGGGGGUAGAAUUCCAGGUGUAGCGGUGAAAUGCGUAGAGAUCUGGAGGAAUACCGGUGGCGAAGGCGGCCCCCUGGACAAAGACUGACGCUCAGGUGCGAAAGCGUGGGGAGCAAACAGGAUUAGAAACCCUGGUAGUCCCA
rnacentral:rRNA from 1 species